rnacentral:rRNA from 1 species
AACGAACGCUGGCGGCAGGCCUAACACAUGCAAGUCGAGCGCUCUCUUCGGAGGGAGCGGCGGACGGGUUAGUAACGCGUGGGAAUGUGCCCAGAUCUAAGGAAUAGCCACUGGAAACGGUGAGUAAUACCUUAUACGCCCUUCGGGGGAAAGAUUUAUCGGAUUUGGAUUGGCCCGCGUUAGAUUAGAUAGUUGGUGGGGUAACGGCCUACCAAGUCUACGAUCUAUAGCUGGUUUUAGAGGAUGAUCAGCAACACUGGGACUGAGACACGGCCCAGACUCCUACGGGAGGCAGCAGUGGGGAAUCUUGGACAAUGGGGGCAACCCUGAUCCAGCCAUGCCGCGUGAGUGAUGAAGGCCUUAGGGUCGUAAAGCUCUUUCGCCAGGGAUGAUAAUGACAGUACCUGGUAAAGAAACCCCGGUCUA